rnacentral:rRNA from 1 species
GACUACAAGGGUAUCUAAUCCCGUUUGCUCCCCACGCUUUCGUGCCUGAGCGUCAGCAAUUGUCCAGGAAGUCGCCUUCGCCUCUGGUGUUCCUCACGAUAUCUACGCAUUUCACUGCUACACCGUGAAUUCCACUUCCCUCUCCAAUGCUCUAGCCGUGUAGUUUGAGGCGCAGUUCCGGAGUUAAGCUCCGGGAUUUCACACCUCACACACACGGCCGCCUGCGCACCCUUUACGCCCAGUGAAUCCGAAUAACGCUUGCAGUCUCUGUAUUACCGCGGCUGCUGGCACAGAGUUAGCCACUGCUUCCUCUCCGGGUUAAGUCAGGCUAGGCGAUAUUAUCGCAUAGCGUUUCUUCCCCGGUGACAGAGGUUUACGAUCCGAAGACCUUCAUCCCUCACGCGGCGUCGCACCAUCAGGCUUUCGCCCAUUGUGAAUGAUUCCCCACUGCUGCCUCCCGUAGG